UACGAGAGGUGCAGGUGUUGUUCCUAAUGACUGGGCGUUAAGGGUAUGUAGAUUGUAAUUUAAGUUAGAAUAAUAUGUAUUUUUAUUAUUUUUUUUUUAAUACUAUUUUUACUAGAAUAAUAUUUUAAAAAUACUAGAACUGUUUAGUUAAAGGUUUUAAAAUCUGUCUAGAUAAGCAGGAAUGUCAAAAGGCAAAGGCAUGUAUUUUAUUUUAUUAUUGACAUUAAAGGUACUAAAGCAUGGGGAUCAAACGGG
rnacentral:rRNA from 1 species